rnacentral:rRNA from 11 species
AUGAAUUAAUCCUACCCUAAAAGCAAGAGAUCUUGUCUGAUCUUGGAUGCUAAGCAGGAGUGGCCCUGGUUAAUAUUUGGAUGGGAAACCUACUGGGUACUGUAGGCUACAUUUCAUA